rnacentral:lncRNA from 1 species
UCUGACUUGAGCUGCCUCUUACAUUUUUGCUGCACUGGUAAAACUCCCACUUCCUCAGAUUAAACCAACUCCUGCCUUUUAAGAAGGCUUUAGACUUGGCUUGUGAUUAUUGGCUAUUCCCUGAACCACUUCUGGAAGAACCUCUAACUCUACAAUGUCCUUCUUCUGGCUUUGCUUCCCAGCUAGAGCAAAGGUACAAGGACCAGUUCCCCGCUGCCAACCAAGCUGACCAGUGAAGUUCAUGAGUGGUGUAUGCUAAAGGCAGUAUAAAAAAGUGACAGAAGAUUUCAGGAAAUAGAAGGAAAGGAAGUGCUCCAAAAGAGACCAAUAAGACUCUUCAAAGAAGAAAGCACUGGCAACAGAAACUACAGUCUCUCCCACCUCAUAGACAUGAGAAGAGCUCUGUAAAUUAUCUGAAUAUUUUUGCCAAGAGAUGCAAAAGACUAGCACAGCUGAGCUACUCUGGUUGGAGGAACCCAAAGAGAGGCAGGAGCCCACUGUGCUGUCCCUUGGGACAUGAUGAUAGCAGCUGCUGAGUAUGAAAUAAACUCUCAUCGUGUCAGUUAAGCUAGCACCUCAGGAAAGAAGCAAAGCCUUCAUAAUGAAAGCUUGGGAUUUCCCAAUAUCUUCCCCAAGUCAGCUCCCUGAGAGAUGGCUUACCUGGUAUUUACCCUCAGAUACAAGAUACUGAAGACUCAAGAAGGAGAAAGGCAUUCAGCAAGGAAAACUCUUCAGAGGAGGAAACACUUCAGUUGGCUUUUGACAGGAAAAUGAGUCCUGACAAUCCUAAAAAGGGGAAGGCAAUGGAGACAACACUCAGUAGAGGGAUAUGGUAUCCCUGGAUUGAAAAAGGUCGGAAGCCUCAGGUGGUCAAGUUAGUGCCAGGAGCCAUGUCCAGAGUCAGUGAGUGACCAUGUCUGCCCUAGCCCCACUCUGGGUGAGUAGGUAGUUAUACUUCCCUCCACACCCCUCUCAACACCCCCUUCUUUUAUAGCCCC